rnacentral:lncRNA from 1 species
UCGCCUGCACCGACCGCGCCAUGAGCGGGGGACGGCGGCGCGGCCGCUCCGUCUUGCGUACUGCGACGACAAGGGCAAGUUCGUGAUGGUCCCCGAGGCGGUGGCGGCGCUGCAGCUCGUCAAGGGCCCCGUCGGGGUCGUCUACAGCACCGUGCCUGCGAAGAAAUCACGGUGCGUGCUUGGUGUGCACACCACGCCUGGAGACACUCACGCGGUUCAUCAGAAAUUCAGAAUCAUCAUCCGCAAGUUGAUGUCGUCGAGGUACUAUGUGUCAUUUGCGUCCCAGCUGGAGUAUAUGGCAUCAGCAUUUACUUCAUAAGCAUUAGUGAUGUAGUUAGUUAGUUCUGAACCUCCCCCAAAUCAAAUACGGUUGCAGUUGUAGCAAUAGAAGCGAGUGGUUGGAGUGCGUCCUUGUCAAAUCAAAUUAAACUAUAUAUAUGGACUUUGUCAUGUAGUAGGAAUAUGAUUCUCUCCCUACGAAAACAAGGUGCAUGAGACAAUCGUAGGAGGCAGUAGCGGUCUCACUGCACUGCUGCGUGCGUACAGUCCACCUCUUUGGUUGGGUGGGUUAGACUAGCUCCAACAAGGAGCUCUAAAUGCUCCUGUACCCUAAAUUUAGAGGAUGAGGACGUCCUCUAUCCCUCCAACAACGUCCUCUAAACGUUCCUCUAAAUUUAGAGGACGCUGCUGGAUCCUCUAUGUAUAGAGUUCCUCUAAACGGUUCUCUAUCUAUUUGAAUACUUUAAACAAUCGUUUUAGUAAAACUAAAAUAUGUACAAUACAUUUGAUAGUAUGACAAACACGUAUGUGCAAAAAUUUAAAAAUAAAAAUGUCUUUAAUAUAGGUAUUUACAUAUAGGGGACGUGAUUUAGAGGACGUUGUUGGAGAGGAAAUAGAUAUAGGGGGUAGAAUCUUUUAGAGAAGACUGUAAGGCUGUCUCCAGCAACGUCCCCUAAAUUUCGUCCCCUAAAGGAAUAUUCCCUGUACUUUACAGAACACUCUAAAAGAUUCUGUCCCCUAUAUAUUCUGUGUCUCCAGCAACGUCCCCUAAAUUCGGUCCCCUAAAGCUACAGUGUUAACAGAAUUCCUUUUUCCAUUUCUUUUUUUGUUUUCUUUGAUUUGUACCCAUUUCAUCAAAUUGUAAGGAUGAUAAAAAAAAUGUAUUCAAUAUUUUUACAAAUAAUAAUAUAAAAAAUGGUUCAUUCAUACUUUCGAAUUGUAACAAAAAAUAACAUUCCAUUUUUUGAUUUCUGUAAUUGUUGUUCAAAAACGUGUCAUAUUCUUUAAAUUGUACGAAAAAUUUGUUUAUAAAAUGUCAUGCUUCCACCGUAAGCCACGACACUUAUUCAAGAAGCCAUCGACUAGCUUCGGCUGCACGACAAGAGUAUGGCUUCUCUCCGAAGCGUAUCCCUUCAAUAAAUACUCACAACCUCAACACAUCACUCACACUUCGCAUACACUGCUCCACAACAAUGAACCCGUUCAUAGAUUCCAAUAUUUUUGUUCGCAUGGCGCAAGACAUGGAAGAUGAAGACCAUGACCUCGAGGUUGCGACGUACCAACAUCGUAGGCGUCGUGCACUUAACGAGCGUCGGUAUGCUGGUUCCAUUCCCGGGCGUGUUCGCAUCCAUCGUGACCAUAUCAGCGGUGAUGCAAGAAUCCGAGCCGACUACUUUUGCGCGCAACCGGUGUACACGGAUGCACAAUUUCGGAGGAGGUAUGUUUUUUGUUACGCACAUCUAUUCACGUCCAUAGUACGUACUUCACACUUGUACUGAAAUAUAGGUUUAUCCAAUAUAGGUUUCGCAUGCGUCGUCAUGUGUUCGAGCGGCUCGUUCUUGCGGUGCAACAAGUGGAUCCCUACUUCGUUCAACGUCCAAACUGUGCCGGUGAGCUUGGUCUAUCUGCCCUUCAGAAAGUUGUUGCUGCCGUACGUAUACUUGCAUAUGGUGUUCCUGCGGAUGCCGUUGACGAAUACGUACGCAUUGGUGAAUCUACGGCACAUGAGGCUUUGAAACACUUUUGCACCGCCAUCCAAACCGCUUUUGGGGGGUACUAUCUCAGGAAACCAACUCGUGCUGAUAUCGCUAGGCUUCUCCAAGUUGGAGAGGCACGCGGCUUCCCCGGUAUGCUAGGUAGUGUCGAUUGCAUGCAUUGGGAGUGGCGUAACUGCCCAACUGCAUGGAAGGGGAUGUUUACUGGUCGGGGUAAACACCCUACAAUGAUCCUCGAAGCUGUUGCCUCGUAUGACCUAUGGAUUUGGCAUGCAUACUUCGGCAUGCCCGGUAGCUGUAACGACAUCAAUGUUCUUCAACGUUCUAACCUGUUUGAUUCGCAUCUUACCGGUGAUAGUCCACCAGUCACUUUCUCUGUCAAUGGACACACGUACAACAUGGGAUAUUACCUAGCAGAUGGUAUUUAUCCGGACUGGCCAGCGUUUGUCAAGACAAUCCGUCACCCGUAUGAUGUCAGGACACAACACUUUGCCACUAUUCAAGAGUCCGCUAGAAAAGACAUUGAAAGAACAUUUGGAGUACUACAGAAGCGAUGGGCCAUAGUUCGUGGUCCUGCAUAUGGUUGGUCUCCACAACACAUUGGAGACAUCAUGAAAACUUGCAUCAUCUUGCACAACAUGAUCGUAGAAGAUGAAGGUCCUUCGUCUUUGAACACAAGCUUCGACAACAUCGGAGUUUUGGCCGACACCUCUCAUGGUUCCAUGUCCGAGCGCAAUGAGUUCAUAAACAAUAGGUACGACCAACUACAUGAUGCAGUUAAAUAUAAUCAGUUGCAGGUUGAUCUAAUCCACCACCACUGGGCGCGGCUUGGAUCGGGAGCUACUUAAGUAUGUAGUUUAUGUUAGUACCAUCAAUAAAAUGUCGUAGUGUCAUGUGUAAUGUCGUAUGUUCUGUUUGUCUGAAGGUAGUAUGCAGUAAUGUCCUAGGUUAUGUUUGUCCCAAGCUAUUAUGUGUAAUGGUGGAAUGCAACUACUGCAAUAUGAUGAAGCAAGUCUACUAUUUGUAUGCAACAACAUUAUUGUACAACCCCUACAAUGCACAAGUGCAGAAACAUAAACUUGUUCUUCAUUCUCAGAAAAAUGACAAGUGCAGAAACAUAAACUUGUUCUCCAAACCAUGACACAACAGGAAAAUGUCAAGUGCACAAGUGCUGUAAAUAAACUUGUUUUCGAAAACAACUAACAUUACUUCCUCAAACACUACAAUGUCUUCAUGAACAUUCACUUGCUUGACGACGAGCUUCCAGUCACCCUUGCCAGAAUCUCCUGUUGUUUCGCCUCAUAGUACUGUCGAAGGAGGGGGUUACAUUUUGUCAAAUCCAUGCUCAAUAUCAGUACCUCCUGUUCCGUCUCCUCCUUCACCUUUUGUCGUUCCAUCUUCAUCUUCUCUAGAUUAAGCUUCUUCCUCUCCAAUAUGAGUUUCUGCCUCUCCUGUUUCUUCAUGAACUCCAACUUCUUCUCCUCAGUUGAAGCUACUGAUUUGUACACAGAUAACCGUUCCAAAGAAAGCUCACCCAUCCGUGUUAGGUACUCCGAAUCAGUGGAUGAUGUGUUCUCUGAUCUUUGCUUCUUUGCCUUUUCCUUGGCUGAAUCACGACCAAGCGGUCUCUUCGAAGUAAAACUUGAUGGAGCUGAGUCUUCACCACCAUCUAAGUCAAUAGUAUUGGAUUGGGUUCCAAUAGGGUUCGGUGGAGGAAUCUGGUUACCCAUGUGCUGGUCCAUCCAUUUUGGUUGAUCCUUCAAUAUGGACCAACAAUGUAAGAAAUGGAAGGGCUUCUUUUCAACAGCAGCAAACCGAGUAGCCGCAAGAGAUGUCUGCAAAACAUAUAAUGCAUUUACUCAAACCGCUGGGAUGUAGUAAAGUACAUUGAUGAAGAACAUAUGCAUAAUACAACAUACACUUACCUUAUCUGCAUCAGUCAUGCCACUUGGGUUUUGUCGAAGCACAGCCAUCAUGUAUCCAGCAAAUGUAGAACAUUGAGUUUUGAUACUGUCCCACCUGCUCAUGAGAGAUUUUGUAGACCUCUCUGGCAUUGAUCCUCUGCGAGAGUUGUAUGCCUCUGUAAUCCGAUUCCAAAAUCCUUGACGCUUCUGACCAGUGUUGACAAUGGGAUCACAACUCACAGCCAACCAAGCUUGACAAACCCUCAUAUCCUCUUCAGACGUGAAAUUUGCUAGCUUUGUGCGUUGAGGAGCCUUCUUCAUAGGAGGUGGUGCUGGUGAUCCCUGGGCUGGUAUCUCAGGCGUAGGAGCAAAUGCAGUGUUCUGAAACUGAGUGGCAUCAUCCUCGGAGAGGUAACUUCCAUAUUGUGCCAUAACUUGGUUCCAGUCGGUACCCAUGCUGUACAAUGAAGGUACUCGCACAAAAAUAGAACAUAUUUAACUAAAUAAGUGUACUACAUUUCAGGCAACCAUAUGAAAUGAAUACAAACCAUGACACUGUUAUCAGUCUCAUGCACAACAAAGUCAGUAGUGGCGAGGACUACAUAUAUUGCAAAGUUCAUAACAUUAAGCAUUACCAAAGAUAGGUAUGGACAAACAUAACCAGCAUAUGAACUAAAGCAGGUUCUUGUGGCACACAUCAGUUGUGUUCACAUACAAAAGACUAGUACGACAUACAUAAACCUAGCACAUACACCUAAUCUAGUAGGGAUAGGUGUCGUCGGUGGAGUAGUCACGGCCGUCGUCGUAGCCGACGAUAUCGUCAUUGUUUAACUCUGAAUCAUAAUCAAUCAGAAGCUCAUCCUCUGUUUGUGAUGAUUCAGCAAUUGGUGUAGGGGUCAUGUGCUCUAUCUCCCAGUCUUUUUCCAGUGCAAGCUGAUCAAGGUCGUUGGCGAGGUCCUCGAUCUGAACUAAUGCACGAUUCAUUUCAUUCAAGACUGGUUCGCUAACUGGUUGGAAGGCACCGUGGACGACAUCGACGAUGUCGGCACAACGCUCCUCCACUACUCUGAUUAAAUGAGCGAGUGCUCUUCGGAGCUUUGCGUUCUCCGAAUCCAUGGUCUACAUAAAAGAUAUGGUUCUGUUAAUAUCUGUAGGUCAAAAUUUUAUGUAAACCGUGGCCUAGUUCAUAAUUUAUAAUGCUAGAGAGUGUAUACAAAUGGAUUGUGAAUACCAGUCCAUAUGUUUUUGUCAAUACACACCGCAUUCAAAUGUUGUGACUGUCAAAAUCAAUAAUGAAGACACAACCUAGUGCUGAUCAUUCUGUGUGUCGAAACCCUAAACCUAGUGAUGAUGAUUUAGUGUGUCAAAACCUGUCGCCAAGUAUUUGUGAAUACACAUCGAUUCGCACAACAACAAGUAUUUGUAGCACAUUCAAUUUUUGUCACUGUCAAUAGCAAUAAUCAAAACUAUACCAACUGGUCAAUGAACCCUACAAGCAUGGAAUGUGUGUUGGCGUAACCAUAAACCCUAGAUCUGGAUGAGUUCUACAAAAUCAACUACUUGAAUCAUACAAACGACAAUGGAUCUGCAAUGGAUACCUUUUUCUCUUCGGAUGUGGAGCACCGGAGCUAGUGGAAGCCGAUGAAGAUGGCGGCGACGAGAUGCGCUUGCGUUUCUGCGCACCUUCCUUCGUCGGCGCCGUGGAUCUUCUCAGCUUCUUCGCGAUGGCGGUUCGACGGCGACGAACACCGACGAUUGCACCGGACCCUUGGAUCUCGGUCUCCUCGCGGGCCACCUCCUUGCCUCCAACCACCGAGAGCGGUCCGCCGCCGGACCCGCUCGAGCACGGCCGCUUUGAGCCCAGCUUGCCCGGCUCCGCCGACGAGCCGCGCCGCGAGGCCCCCUCGCCGAGAUGAAUCGAAGUCGCCAGCGACGGGACUACAGCGCGCUCGGAUUUUUCACCCCCGCGCGAGCCCGACGACUCGCCCGGAUAGCGCACGUCUCCAAGUCUCCACAUCUAGGGUGCGUGCGGCGUCCUCUAAAAUUUAGAGUGUCAUUUAGAGGACCUUGCUGGGCGCCUAGAGGAGGCUUCUGAACUCUAAAUUUAGAGUACAGAACGCUUUACAGUGCGUUGUUGGAGCUAGCCUAAAGGACGGAUAUAGAGGAUGUAUAUAGAGGAUGUUGCUGGAGACAGUCUUAAAGCUUAAUGGCGCCACCACUAAACCCAGGCCAGCACAACGCCGUGGCCAUGUAAAUACGGGGGUGCUCGGGGACGGGGUGCCCAGUCCAGUCCAGUGGCCUCCUCGCCAGCCUUCGCCGCGCGUCUGAACCGCACCCAAGGGCUCGAUCGUAGGCUGGGCAAAUUACCAUUGAACCAAUUAAAUUAUGUUUUAAAGCAUGUUCCCCCACUUGUACCUUCACCUCUAUUUUCUAAAGUUAGAAAGAAAUAGUUGGUAUGUCAUUGACUACAUGUAUCUUCCGCCAAUAUUCAUUAUGGGACUUUGGUCAUCGUCUAAAGAAGAAAUAUAGAUAUACAUUCAUAUAUGAUGUGUACUUACACUUUUUCAAGUGUCUGCAUAAGUUAGUGUAUAUGGCAUCAGCAUUUACUUCAUAAGCAUGCUUGAUUUGGUCCCCUAGGUAGGUCCAGUUUGCUGUUUGCACAACCCUGGCCCACACGGUGAUCUUUAGUUAGCAUCUCUAAAAUAUUAUAUGAUAUUUAUUGAGUUUUUUAUAUGUCUUAUAAGUUUUCCCAAUUAUUUCCAAACCAACCUAUAGCUUAUGUUUUAAUCUACAUGCUCACUAAAUAUAUUUGAUAUCUUUUCAGCGACAAGAAAAAUAUAACCAAGUGCAAUUGUUUUUUUUGGAGGAGAUGCAUUACAUCAAGAAAAAGAUUUAUUGAAACUGUUUAGAAAGCUAUUGUAAGUACCUAUUUACCUUUUUCCCUUCAUUUUCGACUUGUGUUACGCUAGACUAAGUUUUAAUCUUGAUGCUAGGAUGAUAUUGAUGCUAGGAUGAUAUGGAAGCAACGAUAGCAGUACCAGUUGAAGAUGGACAGUUUGCGAAGUCUUCUACAUAAAUUUCACAUGUCUUGCUUUUGUGACUGAUCAGCUCUGGAGCAGCUAGAGUGAUGUAGUUGUGGGCUUUUGAACAAUAGCUGGAGUGAUAUGAAACAUUAGUGAUGCAGUUGUGGGCUUUUGAACUGCUUCAAGCUGGAGUGAUGUCG